UACGUAGGGGGCGAGCGUUGUCCGGAGUUACUGGGCGUAAAGCGCUUGUAGGCGGUCCACCAAGUUUGGGGUGACAGUUGCCGACUUAAUCGGCAAAGUGCCUCAAAGACUGGCGGACUUGAGGGCCACAGAGGGACAUGGAACUCCAGGUGUAGUGGUGAAAUGCGUAGAUAUCUGGAAGAACACCAAAGGCGAAGGCAGUGUCCUGGGGAGUACCUGACGCUAAGGUGCGAAAGCCAGGGGAGCGAACGGG
rnacentral:rRNA from 1 species